rnacentral:lncRNA from 1 species
GGAGAGGCCUAUAUAAAUCAGCCAACAAGGCUAAGCUAUAAGCCUUUCUUCCAGUGUCUAGAACAAUUAAUUUCAAGCAAAUAUAUUAUGAUUAGGGGCAUGGUUCCUCAGGUUUCCAUUAGGGAAGAGGUUAAGUUUAAGGAGGCUCAUGUUCCAUGGCGCAGGGAGAUGGUGGUGGAAGUGUUCAAAAGUUUUGCCAAGGACGGGCAGCUUUCCAAGCAUGAGUUGAAGGCAGCCUUCGAUAAACUUGGGUCGCGUUGGAGCACUUUCAGAGCUUGGAGAGCUUUAAGCUAUGCAGAUGCCAAUCAGGACGGCCUCAUUUCUAAUGAUCACGAGUUCAAAGCCCUUGUCAACUAUGCCUUAGAAUGUGGCUAUGAACUCUAAAUUAUUUUCUACAGUCUGUCGGCCUUGGUUUACUUCUUCUACUCAUGUUAGGAAAGAAAAAAAAAUGUUUGUGUAGUAGAGUAGUGAAGGAAUGAGGCGACCGUAUCCUUUUUUGUCGAUAAAUUAUUAUAUGGUACUGAAAUAAUUUCAUUAUAAAUGAAUAUUGUGAUGAUCUAUAUAAUGUUUAUCUAAUUUUUCAAUAACUAAGACCAUAUAUACCAUUUGUGGUGUCCAAUAACCUUUCCUCAAAACCCUUGCUCUUAAUAUGGCAAUUAAGCGUGUAUACUCUCAUACAUUUGUAAAGAAAGGUUUUGUUCUUAUUUCUUCAACUAUUAAAAUGAAUAAUCUGCUAAAUUAGGACACGUAAGUCUAACUUAAAAUUGAUUAUUAGUGAGCGCCAAUCGGGUCUACUAUAAUGAAAAAGAGUAUUGGUUUGCAGAUUAAAAAUCUUAGGUUCGAACUCAUAUGGCAUCUUAGUUAUGUACGUGUGUUUGAGAAACCUCUCCUCUAUAAUUUAGAUUGUACUUUUAAAAAAAUCCAAUUACUGAGCAAGUUCACAGGUAAAGUCAUAAUUAUGGAAACUGGCGCAUAUCCUCCAAACCAUACUAGCUUAAGUCCAAUCUUCAACUCAGAAGUCAGUACCCAAUUAGCCAGCAUAAUCCAGAAUUUUUUUUCACUUGGGCUAAAUAAAUUUCUACUUUCAAAUGUAAUUAGUGGUCCACUCCACCAUCAAUCCAUACAGUUCAUGAGUAGCCCAGUUAGAAAGAUUAGUUAUUGUUAUUUCCAAAUUUAUAUUUGAACUUUUGUAAGGUUUAAUUUCCUCAUAUAGUACUUUUUUUUUACUAGUUUAUCAUUAUCUAAUAUUCGGUCACAAUAUAUUUACUUACUUUAUGGAUUGUAUUGAAUAAAUUAAAGAUGAUAGAGGACCCCCCCCAACCUGUUUGGGUGAUGGGAGUGGAUUGUGAGUACUUUUUGGUUUCACAUCCACACUCUUAUCCAUUUGGCAUCUAAUUUCUGAAGUGGUGAUGCUUGUCCCUAUCCAUUCGGCUAAAAAUAUCACAUUUGAAUCUUGAUUCUUGAUUAUCAAUGGAAUUAAGAAAAGAAAUCGAAAGAAAUCAAACUAACUUGUAACUUGUACGUCAAGGAUAACCAAAAGCUCAUACGUACAUAUGAUAUGAUAUGAUAUAUACAUCCUUCACUUUUAUUCGAUGUGAGAUCUUUUGAGGCAUUACCAAACCAAACUUGGCUUUAUUCUUACAAGGACGACAACAACAACAACAAUAUGUUCCAUAUUCUAGUUCUUGUUUCUAUGUUUUUAGCAUUUCAAAUCUAAAGAUUUUAUUUUCAAUAUGAAUUUAGUUGGUAUUCAAAUACAUUAAGAUCCAAAAUGUAUUAACGUACAAAGAAUAUCAAUAUGAUUGAAUUAAUCAUGAAUGCUAGCAUUUAUUGACAGACUAUCGACUGUAUUUAAAUAAAUAAAUAAAUAUAUAUAUAUAUAUAUAUACAGAGAGCUUUCAUUGAAAGAUUCUUCAAAUAAGCUUAUUUAAGGGACAUCCCUUAUAAGCCCCACUCCGGAUUGUAUUUCACUAAUUCAAACCGUUUAUUUUGUAGAUACUCAUUCAAAGAUCAUCUCUAUAAAAAAAAUCACUUGAAUCCGAUAUCAUUUGACCACUCAAUUGAGUUAUUAAAAUUUUAGUACUUUCUUGAAGCACCAUUUUGUAAGACACAAUUGAAUGUCGAAACGAUUUCUAAUUUGUCUAAUUUUUUAUAAAAAUAAUCUAUGAAUGAAAACCUAAUAUAUAUAUAUAUAUAUAUAUAUAUAUCCAUUGACAGAAUAUAUGAGUGUGACUUGUCACAUGCAAAUUGUUGAUCACCGAUGGAGUUGGUGCGACGGGCGGUUUGAAAAAUUGGAAUCUUGUCAAAGAUCAAAAGAAGGAAAAACUUUGGUUAGAUAGUAAUAGGGACCAGAAUAUUCCAUAUAAAUGCCAUGCAUAUUUGGAGAUAUAGAAACAUAAAACCAGCUUCAUAUUUAUCAACCUUAUGCCUUCCGCACUUCCAAGAUCAUAUAGGGCCUUACCAAACUAUUAUUCUACAAGAUUUUUCAUGAGAUAUACAUUGUUGUAAAAGCUUUCAUGCCAAUGAAUGAUCGUAAAAAUAUCUUGGGUUUGUAUCUUUAUAAUGCAAUUGCUCGAUCAUUAUCCUAAUUAUAUUAUUCAAAGAAGGUCGAUCAUGAAUUGUUCCAUUGCUUCUCCCCACUCUUCUUUUUCCUUUUUCUAAGAAAGAUUGUUUUAAGCCUUUCGAUUCUGAUUCGCAUCAAUCCCAAUUAUUAGUUUGGCAGAUUACUAAAGAUAGAAACACACAUGUACGAGAUGUAUCACGUAAUUUUACCCGCUAUCGUAGUAUAUUAUAAUUUUUUUUUCAAAAUUAAGAUGCCCUAGGCCUACAAGACUAAGCUUACUUAAUUUACUUCAUCUGCAUAUUGUGAGUGAACCUUUUAAAGAGGCUUCACGAACCCAAAAGUUGAAUUGUUCCCUUCAAAUCGUUGCGGAAAAACAAGUUGGCAGAUGAAGCAUUUUACUGUUACAAACUUUUGGCACUUGUGGUAAUCAAUAAAUAUAAACCUUUUUGACUAACAAGCAUCUCUGGGCACUCUCUCUUUGAAAAGUUCCAUGCUUCAUGUUCACGCAGAAAAUUAAGAUAUGUAUAGAAAGCCUCUAUAUUUUUGGGAUUUGAUUAUUUAUUGAUAUAAUUGGGGGCAUCCAUUUCAUUCAUCUACGAGAUUCAAUUGUUCAAUUAGAAUGGAUGCCCCGAUUUUCUAUUGUAAUUUAGAUAUAUUUCCUACUUUAUUUAGAGUUAACACAUUUUUGUACUUGUAUAAAUACCUACAUAUUGGAGAAGAAUAAUAAUAUGAUAAAAUAUGAGCAUAAGUGAGCAUAUCUGAAUAUUUACCCUACUUUGUUUGACAUUUACAAAGUCGGGCGAGUUGUGCAUAUUACACAGGGCCAGAGAGGAGAGCCCUAUAUAAAUCAACUUUGAGCCCCAUUAAGUAUAAUUAACCAUCUAAAUCACAUAGUUCAAGUCCCUCGGCAAAGCGAAGCCUUUCUUAUUAACUAUAUCAUGGUUAGAUACGUCCCUGCUUCUCCUCCUCCGGAGAUGAUGGUGAAGGAGGCCUAUGUCGUAUGGAGUAGGAAGCAGGUAGAGGAUUUGUUGAAAAGUUUUGACAUGGACAAAGACGGCAAGCUUUCCAAGCAGGAGUUGCAGGCAGCUCUCAAUAAACUUGGGUCGCGUUGUGUCUUCUUAAGAGUUUUGAGAGCUCUACGCCAUGCAGAUUCCAACAAGGACGGGUUGAUUUCUAUAGACGAUCACCUUGUUAACUAUCUCUUUGAGUGCCGUUAUAAGCUAUAAGUUAUUGAUUGCUAAGUACAAGAUUAAUUAGUCCUUGUACUAAUUAAUCAGCCUUAUAUGUAGCUCUUUUUAUAUAUACGAUUAUGUGUAUACGUAGUAGCGAAGGAAGGAGGUGACCUGUGUUGCCCCUCUUUGCCAGUGUACAUGUAUUAGAACCCUGGUUAUAUAUAUGUGAUGUUUAUCUAAUUGAAGUGAUCAUGACAUGAAAAUCCAUAAUAUAAAAGUAAAAGAAAACCAUAUUGAUAUACGAGUGAAGCAAUUCCUUUGCUAUAAUGACUAUCAAUGGAGAUGAAAGCCUUUCAUAAUGAGUUUAAAAAACUAGGAUCUCUCCACUUAUUGUCAAUAAACUGGAAUCCACCAGAAAAUUGAGUAAAACUCAAAGGUAUUUGAUUGAUAAUAAGAUAGAUAAUUCAGGAUGCUCCACAUUCCUUUUAUACAAGGGAAACCUUAGAAUUGCAUGGAAAGCUAAUGAGAAACCCUAGACUUGCUAGGAAAGCUAAUUAGAAAACAAAAAUGAAAAUAAUAAAAGUUUCCCAAAAUAUUCUAGAAAUUUUAAACGCUGUAAAGUCAAAGUAAAUGAUAAAAUUUGACUAAAAUAGUCCAUACGUCACAGCAAAGCAGUGAGUUACAUUUGUCACGUCGUUCUAUUCUAAAUGAUAGGUCAUGAGCCCGAUUAUGAACUCGGAGUUCAUACUUGCACAUAUUGGACUUUGUUGUCGCGACGAUGUGCGCGCCAGUCCAACUGUUUCUCGAUCAACUCGGUCAUGUGUUCUACAUCAAGCAGGAUAUGAGAAACAGAAAAAAAAAAAAAAAAGAAACGAUAACACGUGACUAUAAUAAGCUUUGUUUUCAAAUCAUUUAUCAAAAUUAUUUUUAAGGUACGUAUAGUAGGGGAGCCAGCCGAUAUACUCGACAACUUUCCAUAUAUCCAGCAUCUGACAAAAAGCCUACUAUAAUAGAGUGGUAACGAUGUGGCGGGUUAGGACUGAAGUUUGGUAUCUCUAAGAUUCUUGAUAUCUAUAUUUUACCAAACUAUUUUGGUAUAAAAUUGUGGAUUCUAUGGGUGAGGACCAGAAGAAGAGGCCGGCGAAAAGAAUCCCAUUGAUCAGAUCGAUGCCUAUCUUUUUUCUCAGGCCCCCCGUGGUCACAUUGCUUAGAUUCUAAUUCUCACCAAUCCAAGAUAUACAUGUACAUAUGUAACGACUAGCUAUGGUAAAUCAGCACUUUCAAAACAACCCAUUUGACCAAGUCAAACAAGAAUCUAUCAAGAGUAAUGCUACUCACCCAACAUUAUACAUCUACAAAUAUAUGCUAUAUAUGAUUAUUUAUUGAGUGAACCAUCUAUAGAAAUUAUUAUUUCUUCAUUCUCAUGGGAUGGGAAUAAUUAAAUAUUAUUUAAUUCAAUAACAUAAUUAAAUAUUACUUCAAUUAUACUUAAGUGGUAUAUAAUAAGCCUCUAACCCCUUUUGUAAACAAGCAUCUUGCUACAUCUUUCUUUCUUGUAGUGCGUUGCUUUGGAAUUAAGAUCAAUAUGGUAAGAGAUCUCCUUGUUCCGGGGUUUAUUAAUAUCACAGAGCAGAAGGGCAGGGUCCAAAUUUUCUGGUCUGAGGAGCAAUUAUUGGUUUUCUUCAAAGGUUAUGACAAGGAUGGAGAUGGCAGACUUACCAAAGAUGAGGCCAAGGCAGCCUUCGAUAAACUUGGGUCGCGUUUCAGCACUUUCAGAACUUGGAGAGCACGAUGCCAUGCAGAUACCAACAGCAAAGACAGGUCCAUCCUCAACGUCAACGACCUUGUCAAAUAUGCCCUAAAACGUGGCUAUAAACUCUGAUUAACUCAGAAGCACAUGAAGGGUUUUAGUCAACUAAUUAAUAUAAUAUAUAUGUGUGUAUGUGUGUAUGUAUAAGAGUUUUUAAUUACUUAUCUACUAGUUCCAGCCAUAUAUACAUAUAUGUGUGUAUGCUAGCGAAGGAAGGAGGUGAGCUUUUGCUUCCCCCUCUUUGGCAAAGGUUUGAUGAAUGAGAUAUCUGAUUAUGUGGAAACUUUUUUAGUUGUUUUCGUUUUUCGGCUCAUUUCGCAAUGUGAUUUAACAAUUAAAAUUGCUUAUAUUUUAGAUAUCCCCUAUUAAGUAUUACCGAUUUAAUAUAAUUUUAUAAUCCGCACCAAUUAGCCUUUAAUCUAGUGAUAAUUAUCUUUUUGCAAUGCAAGUGAAGGAUAAACGGCAAAUUGUGUGAAUGUUUUUACUGUGAUCAGUAUGGUUGUAGAAACCAAAGCGAAGACCUAGCUAGUUGACCCGAGUCAAGCAAAAGAAUCUAUUAUCUCUUUAAUAAAGUUCCAUGCUUUCCGUGCACGCACAAAAUUAAUGGAUAUAUCAUAUAUGCUAUUGGUUUUUUGAAUGAACCGUAAUCUUCCAAUUUCAUGGACGGAUGGGAAUUGUCAACUUUUAUUUCAUUCAAAACAGAUAGCUAAGGGGGCCCUAGCCGGCACAAUAUUGCUAUAUAACUGCCACUCUCUAACCUAUCUUACACUGCAAGUCCAAACAUUCUCUCUUGCAUUGUUUAAGGCACCCUUUUCUUGUAGUGUUUUUUUUUCAAGGAAACCCUUUUCUUGUGGUGUUUCUUUUACGGGUCUUUCGAUCCAAGCCUGAAAAUUUUGGUUUUUAUUAGGUUUAAGUAACCCAAGUUUUUCACAGAAGCUAAGCUAGAAUUUGAAGAUAAAUAUGGUUAGGGAGACCCUUGUUCAGUUGUGGAACAACAUGGAGGACGCGGUUGUUUAUAGGAAGGUCCAAAUUCCAUGGACAAAGGAGCAGGUAAUGGCUGAGUUCAAAAGAUUGGACAAAGAUGGAGAUGACAGGAUUUCCAAGGAAGAGCUGAAGGCAGCCUUCGACAAGUUCGGGUCGCGUUGGGGUUCUUUCAGAGCUUGGAGAGCCCUCUGCCACGCCGAUGCCAACAAGGACGGGUUCAUUUCUAUGGAGGAGUUCACCGAUCUCCUCAACUAUGCUUUGAAAUGUGGGUAUAAACUAUGAAGAAUUAGAAUUCUUCACGUAGGACCUACGGCAGGCUUAGUUUUUGUGCUUGCUGUACUGAGUAGUCUGUGAUCAUGUAAUAUAAUGUCUCUGUGUAUGUACAUAUAUGCGUUGCUAAAAUAUGAAAAUUAUGAGAGAAUAUUUGUUUGUGGGAAUUUUCUGUGUGUUCUUCUCCUUGUAGGAGGUCAUAUUUAUAAUACAACGAAAUCUGAAUGGGCAAGUAAAUAAUAAAUUCCUAAAUCUAUUUACAGUAGGAAAUCAGGAAUUAAAGUAAAUCAAUUACAAUUAUAAUAGGAAUUCUUGAUGUGUAAGGAAAGUAAGUCAAUAUCCACAAGUCACGCCAACACUCCCCCUCACGUUGGUGCAUAGAUGUCGCCAAUGCCCAACUGAUCCAGUGAAUUGUGGAAUGCUUUACUGGAAAUCGCCUUUGUCAAAAUAUCCGCCAAUUGAUCCUCGGAUUUCACAAAAGGAAACUGAAACACUUUAGCCUCAAGCUUCUGUUUGAUGAAGUGUCGAUCCACCUCAACAUGUUUAGUACGAUCAUGCUGAACCGGAUUCUGUGCAAUGGCUAUAGCAGCCUUGUUGUCACAAAAGAGAUUCAUUGUGGACGUAGGUUUAUACCCGAGUUCAAUAAGCAACUUUCUUAACCAAAGAAGUUCACAAAUCCCUUUAGUCAUGCCUCUGAACUCGGCUUCUGCACUGGAUAAAGCUACUACAUUCUGUUUCUUGCUCCUCCAUGUCACCAAAUUACCUCCCACGAAUGUGAAGUAACCCGAUGUGGAUUUUCUAUCUGUUACAUUACCUACCCAAUCUGCAUCUGAAUAACCAUCAAUAUUUAGAUGACUAUGCUUUGAGAACGUAAGUCCUUUUCCAGGUGCAGACUUCAAAUAUCUAAGUAUCCGAAGAAUUGCAUUCAUGUGGUCUUCACUUGGAGAGUGCAUAAAUUGACUGACAACGCUCACCGCAUAAGCAAUGUCUGGUCGAGUAUGUGACAAAUAGAUCAAUCUUCCCACUAACCUUUGGUAUCUUUCUUUGUUAGUUGGAACUCGAUCCGGAUAUUCUCCAAGAUGAUGAUUCUGAACAAUAGGAGUGUCCGCACGUUUACAAUCUAGCAUUCCUGUGUCUGUCAACAAGUCUAAGACAUAUUUCCUUUGAGAGAGAAAUAUGCCUUGCUGCGAUCGAGCCACCUCAAUUCCCAAGAAAUACUUGAGUCCACCUAGAUCUUUCAUCUCAAACUCCGUAGCCAGAUAGUCUUGUAACUGUGAUAUUUCCUGUUUAUCAUUCCCAAUAAUAAUCAUAUCAUCAACAUAGAUUAUUAAUGCUGUUACCUUCCCUUUUUGAUGUUUCAAGAAUAGAGUAUGAUCUGAGUUGCACUGUUUGAAACCAUUGUUCUUCAUUGCCAUGGUGAACCGUCCAAACCAUGCACGUGGUGACUGUUUCAAUCCAUACAAUGCUUUUCGUAACCUGCAAACUGUUCCAGUCUGAGUAGUAUUAUAUCCAGGAGGAAUGUCCAUGUACACCUCCUCCGUGAGUUCGCCAUGUAGAAAAGCAUUCUUUACAUCAAACUGGUGUAGUGGCCAAUCCAAAUUAGCUGCAAGGGACAAUAAGACUCUGACGGUGUUUAACUUUGCAAUUGGUGCAAAAGUUUCUUCAUAGUCUAUACCAUAGGUCUGUGUGUACCCUUUUGCCACAAGUCUUGCCUUGUAUCGCUCGAUAGAUCCAUCUGCAUUGUGUUUUAUAGUAAACACCCAUCUACAUCCGAUAGUCUUUUUUUCUCGUGGUAUAGUUUCCAAUGUCCAAGUCUGAUUUUUCUCAAGAGCUUUCAUCUCCUCUUUUAUAGCUUGGACCCACUUAGGAUCUUUCAAUGCUUCAGAGAUCUUGGUUGGAAUAUGGAUAGCAGACAACUGAUGCACAAAAGCCUUGAGUGGUUCAGACAGCUUCUCAGUGGAUACAUGAUUUGCAAUUGGAUACUUGGAUGUCUUGCCAAUAUUCGGUGAAUAACGGUUUGGUGGCUUCCCACGAUUUUGCCUGAAAGGUAAUUGAUAUCCAAUAGUUUUAUCAUCUAAAUGCACAAGUCUAGUAGGAGUAGUUACCUCAAGGAUAUUCUCAGGAGAUUGGUCUGUUGGUACUGUUGAGUUAGAAGGGGGGUCUUCAUCUUGUUGUUCUGUAUUGUCUGUAGGUGUAGGACUCGGAUCAGAAAUAUCUUCGCAUGGAUCAGGUGGGUCAGGCAAUUGAUCGCUAUGAAUGGGCGAUUGGUCACUUUUCAACAGAGAGUACUCUCGUGCUCCAGACUCGGGAUGAUCAAUCAUUUCUGUACAUAGGAGAAUGUCUUUGUUUUCCAAGUUGCUCCAAUUCUGUUCUUCACUUCGUAUCUCCCCCUGAAGCGCAGAAUUGGAUGAUGGUCAUGGAAGAACAGCUCAGAUUCCAGAAAAGUCACAUCCAAAGUGACAUAGGUUCGUUGGGUAGUAGGGUGAUAACAGCGGUAACCUUUCUGAUGAGUGACAUAACCCACAAAAACACAACGAAGCGCACAGGGAUCAAGUUUGCUACGUUGAUUUUUGUGGAGAUGAACGAAAGCCACACAUCCAAAGAUUCGGGGUGUGAGUACCAAAACAGAGGGCAGAGGUCUGUGUUGCGCAAGCACCUGUAAAGGAGUUUUAAAGGUCAAUACACCAGAAGGCAUGCGGUUGAUCAGGUGAACUGCAGUGACAAUAGCAUCAUCCCAGUGAUGGCGAGGAACAUGAGCGCCAAUCAGAAGUGCUCGGGCGGUUUCAAGAAGAUGUCGAUUCUUUCGUUCAGCAACACCAUUUUGUUGCGGUGUCUGAAGACAAGUCGUCUCAUGGAUAAUUUCAUGUUGUUGGAAGUAAGUCUGAAAGUCAUGAUUGACAAAUUCUCCACCAUUGUCUGAGCGAAGAAUCUGGAUUUGAGCAUUAAAUUGAGUUUUCAUCUGUUUGUGGAAGGACUGAAAACUGAAAAAUACUUCGUUUUUAUUCUUCAGCAAAUAAAGCCAUGUCAUCCGUGUACAAUCAUCGAUGAAUGUGACAAACCAUCGAACACCAGAAGGAGCAGUGAUAGGCGAAGGUCCCCAGACAUCAGAGUGAAUUAAUGUAAAUGGAGUAGUACACUUGUUUGUACUCAACGGGUAGGGCACACGGUGACUCUUGGCCAAAAUACAAGUAUCACAUGUGAAGUCGGAGUCUUUGAAACCUGAGAAUAAAUCUGGUAUAAGAUGCUUCAUAUAACUAAAAGACGGAUGUCCCAAUCGACGAUGCCACAACCAGAUUUGCUUUUGUUUGCUAUCAAAGGGAUGUGUCACACUGUUAGCCACGCCGGGACUGAAGUCAUCGACAUAAUAUAGCCCCCAUCUCUUAGUACCACGACCAAGAAUCUCCUUAGUGUGAAUAUCCUGAAGCAAACAAAAACUCGGGUAAAUGAGUACACAACAAUUCAAUUGUUCAGUAAGCUGACUAAUUGACAACAAUUUAGUGGAUAAAGAUGGAACAAGUAAAGUAUUAGACAGUGGAGAGAGGAUGAGAGUGCAACAGUGCUAGCNNNNNNNNNNNNNNNNNNNNNNNNNNNNNNNNNNNNNNNNNNNNNNNNNNNNNNNNNNNNNNNNNNNNNNNNNNNNNNNNNNNNNNNNNNNNNNNNNNNNNNNNNNNNNNNNNNNNNNNNNNNNNNNNNNNNNNNNNNNNNNNNNNNNNNNNNNNNNNNNNNNNNNNNNNNNNNNNNNNNNNNNNNNNNNNNNNNNNNNNNNNNNNNNNNNNNNNNNNNNNNNNNNNNNNNNNNNNNNNNNNNNNNNNNNNNNNNNNNNNNNNNNNNNNNNNNNNNNNNNNNNNNNNNNNNNNNNNNNNNNNNNNNNNNNNNNNNNNNNNNNNNNNNNNNNNNNNNNNNNNNNNNNNNNNNNNNNNNNNNNNNNNNNNNNNNNNNNNNNNNNNNNNNNNNNNNNNNNNNNNNNNNNNNNNNNNNNNNNNNNNNNNNNNNNNNNNNNNNNNNNNNNNNNNNNNNNNNNNNNNNNNNNNNNNNNNNNNNNNNNNNNNNNNNNNNNNNNNNNNNNNNNNNNNNNNNNNNNNNNNNNNNNNNNNNNNNNNNNNNNNNNNNNNNNNNNNNNNNNNNNNNNNNNNNNNNNNNNNNNNNNNNNNNNNNNNNNNNNNNNNNNNNNNNNNNNNNNNNNNNNNNNNNNNNNNNNNNNNNNNNNNNNNNNNNNNNNNNNNNNNNNNNNNNNNNNNNNNNNNNNNNNNNNNNNNNNNNNNNNNNNNNNNNNNNNNNNNNNNNNNNNNNNNNNNNNNNNNNNNNNAGCCCACCAAUCGAGGGUAGCCAUGCGAUGUAAAAACAAAGUCUCACAAGUGUGUCUCGAUCACCAACAAUAUGCGCAAUUGGUCCAUGUGUCGGGGUCGUUAGUCUAGAAGUCAUAAUCCGUGCAGCGGAAGAAAGCAUAGGAUACAGGUUGAGUAGGAAUUUGGAUCGGAAUCUGAGCUGAGUCGGGGCCGGAGUCGGAGUCGAAAUCGGGAUCGGGGUCUGAAUCAUAGACAAAUUCGAGGUUGGGGUCAUCAUCGGAGUGAGGGUCGGGGUCGUCUUCGGAGUCGGGGUCAGGGUCGUCGUCGUCAUAGUCGGGGUCGGGGUCGUCAAAAGAGGAUCCUGAUUCUGGAUCGGGGUCUGAAUCAUAGACAAAUUCGGGGUUGGGGUCAUCAUCGGAGUGCGGGUCGGGGUCGUCUUCGGAGUAGGGGUCGAGGUCGUCGUCGUCAUAGUCGGGGUCAUCAAAAGAGGAUCCUGAUUCUGGAUCGGGUUCGGGGUCAAAGUCUGCAUCUGUAGGGAUGGAGCCAUCUGGGCACUCAACUCAACGAUGGUUGGUUGAGAAUGAGAGAAGGAGUCGGUGGUGCUACCUCCAUGAGGGUUGAAAAAAUCAUCAACCCUCAUAGCGGCGGCGGGGUUUUGAAACUAGAGUCAGCAAUUCCAAGAUCGCCGCUCUGAUACCAUGCUAAAAUAUGAAAAUUAUGAGAGAAUAUUUGUUUGUGGGAAUUUUCUGUGUGUUCUUCUCCUUGUAGGAGGUCAACGAAACCUGAAUGGGCAAGUAAAUAAUAAAUUCCUAAAUCUAUUUACAGUAGGAAAUCAGGAAUUAAAGUAAAUCAAUUACAAUUAUAAUAGGAAUUCUUGGUGUGUAAGGAAAGUAAGUCAAUAUCCACAAGUCACGCCAACAUGCGUAUGUUAAUGAAUUAAUGACCAGUGAGCAGCCAUGGCUCUGUUACAUAAAAUUGAUAAGCACAAAAAUUAGAGAAUAUGUGAAGGGCAUUAGUUAAUGGUUAUGUUGGUUUAUUGUUAAUGUCUAAUUUAUAUUUCAGUAAUACCAUGUGACACUAAUAAUCAAUCUGGAUGUGGAUAGAAUAGACAUAUCUUAAUUUCUUCUUUAUUCAAGUUAAGUAUAAUUUACAAAGCACAAAAAAAAAAAAAAAAAAAACAGGAGAGUAUAACUGACGAGUUCUGAUAUCCCUAAUGCUACUUUUACAACAUUUUUAUACCACAAUUAUAUACCACCUUAUGUGGCAACUUAAGUAUUAGCCAAUUAAAUAGCCAGCUAUACUAAAAUUUCUUUUUCUUUUUCAAAAUGUAAUUAUGUUACUAAAAAUUUAUCACCUCUUCUUACUCACCCUCUCUCUCCCACCAACCCAUCGAUCGGAGGAAAUUUUCAGAUCUAGAAUAGAGGGAAGAGAAGCUCUGAACUAGAGAAGUUGAGGAAUUCAGAAGGAAACAAUAGAAGGUAACACCCAAAAGAUUUUUCCUUGGUGAUGUAAGAGGCUGGCGGCUGGCUUCAAGGUAGGGUCAUUGUUUUGAAUGGAGUCCCUUGACACUUCCCAGGAGUUGUCCCCUUUACUUUGGUUCAUAACAAUAGAUUGAUAAAUUUGUUUAGAUCUCUUUUGGUUCAUAUCAAUAUAUUGAGAUUUGGAUUGUUGUUUGUGUCGAAGAUGGAGGGAGUGGAGUGUAGGGGUAUUUUCUCGGAAGUUUUUGUUUUUGUUUUUUUAAUUUUUUGUUAAUUAAAAAUAAUAAAAUAAUAAAAAUAAUUCAAAACACUUUAGAUGAUGUGGAUGUCCACAUCAACUGCCACACAAACGCGUUAUCACAUCUUCACCUUCUAUGUUACCUAUUAUCAGACUCAACCCCUACACUCAGCUUCAUAAUUUUUGAUUGGUGUUAGUGUAAAGAACUCUUUCAUUUAAAACUGGCACCCAAAAAGGGGGAAAAAUUAUGAAGCAAUUUUCCUUCCAAUGGUGAUUGUGAAUUGAGUUGAGUGAGAAAGAAAGACUUAAGAGGCUGAAAGAAUUGACAAAAGCUCGUGAAUCAUCUGCUUGACAUUGGCACUGGCUGAUUUUCAUGUAAAUUUGCAGUAUGCAAGUUCUGUUACAAUCACCUUUUUCAUUUUCUUUUAUGGGAAAAAAAAUUGAAACCAAAUGAGUUUGAUUCACAUAAAUUGCAUAAUGGGUAUAUGAUUGUCGCAAGUUAUUUGUUGAAGUGUUUCUCAUACGAUGACUCCAAAAUCAGAAGCCAAAAAGGGGGAGAAAAAUUAUGAAGCAGAACUUGGCUUACCAGACGAACCAGCAUCCAACGAGCGAAAAUUUAUCGAACCAGAUACAGGGGCUGAGUUUUGCAUGGCAGAGAUGAUGCAAGGGUUGAGUCUGAUGAUACAUAGGGUAGAAGAUGAAGAGGUGAGAGAACAUGUUUGUGUUAAACGUGUAUUUUAAUAUUUUUUUUAAAAAUAAAAAUAAAUGAGUUAAAGAGUUAAUUAAUAGAGUUAAAAUAUUGUUAAAUUGUGUGCCACAUGUCACAAAACCAAUGAAGAAAUAAAAAGGCACAAGGAAUUUGGUAAGAGGAAAAUUGGACUCGUAAGAGUAACAUUAGUCUAGGUGAUUGACCCCAAGCUUUUUGGAUGAUAGGCAUAUAUAGCUAGCUAUCGCGUUUAUGUACUUUUGGUUUCAGAGCGACACCCUUAUCCACAUAUGGCAUCUACAACACAACAUAAAACAUAUGUCGGUGUGCCGAUCAAAGAAUCUUUUGAUUCCUUUUCUUUUCAUAAUUUACAGAAAAAUUACACCACCAGCACCCACCCCCACCCCCACCCCCACAUAACGGAUAUUGCUUUCGAGUUUCAUAUCCACCACGCUGUGUGUUAUCCAUAUGGCAUCUACAAUGGGGAUGCUUGUCCCAAUAGUCAUAGGCCAAUUCUCACAUAAUGAAUCUUGGGCAUUGGCGACAUCUAUGCACCAACGUGAGGGGGAGUGUUGGCGUGACUUGUGGAUAUUGACUUACUUUCCUUACACACUAAGAAUUCCUAUUAUAAUUGUAAUUGAUUUACUUUAAUUCCUGAUUUCCUACUGCAAAUAGAUUUAGGAAUUUAUUAUUUACUUGCCCAUUCAGGUUUCGUUGUAUUAUAAAUAUGACCUCCUACAAGGAGAAGAAUACACAGAAAAUUCCCACAAACAAAUAUUCUCUCAUAGUAUUAAUAUUUUAGCAUGGUAUCAGAGCCUGGUUCGAUCUAGGGACCUGUUCUUGUGUUCUUCUUGAAAUUUAAGUGCUCUUCUCCCCCCUUGAGGUGUUAUAUUAAAAUACUACGUACAAAAGAUCAACUAGUAUAUAUAGUGGUUUAAAGCAAGAAAGAAAAAGGUUUCGUUCACAAACCGAAAAGUUGAAUUAUUCCUUUCAACAAUUGGCAGAUGAAGCAUUUUACUGUUAUCAACUUUACUACCAAAGAAAAGCUCACAAACCGCUUUUGACCAAACAAUUAAGCAUCUAUUAUCACUACUUGCGAAGUUCCAUGCUUCAUGUGCACGCAAAAUCUAGUCCAUAUAUAUGACUCCAUUUUUUUUAUAAUAAUAAACUGUAGUUUACCAAUUUCAUCUGCGGAAAUUACAAACAAUACAAACUAGAAAAUGAACUGCAACAGGCAACACUUAGAACAAGAGAAACCUAACUCAAAAACAAGAAGAACAAGAAUUUGUUUGAUAUUUCAUCCAUUGGAAUCAAGUAUUAUUUUUAAGGAGAGUGAUCGGAUCGAUGCCAAACUAUAGUAAGUAUAUAUCAACAAAAUACCAAACUGGAGUAUCAAGAAAAUAUUAAAUAAAAUAUCGAUAAUGUAUCAUAUACUGUAAAUAUAUUGGUAUCCGAUACCAACAAAUUCUUUCCCAAAAUAGAGACCCUUGAGGCAUGUGACUUGAAGAAUAUUAGAAUACUUUUGGAGGUCCAACAUGCGCGCAGGGGACCAGGCAGAGCCCUAUAUAAAUGGGCUCCUUCAUAGUGUGCAAGUCACCCAAUUCAAGCCUUUGUUAAUUCCUUGGUAGUUUUUGCAGUUAAUAAAUUAGUAGAAGAUGGGUUAUCACAAUAAUCUUGAUAAGGUCCGUAAUAAGAGGGCCAAGUUUCCCUACACAAAGGAGCAGAUAAGGAACGUCUUCAAACGUCAUGACAAGAAUGGAGAUGGUCAACUUUCCAAAGAUGAGCUGGACGCAGCCUUCAAAGAACUUGGCUCGAUAUGGCCUCCUGGUAGAGCUUGGUUUGCUCAAAGGUAUGCAGAUGACGACGGCGAUGGCUUCAUUUCUAUAGACAAGGAGCUCAGCAAGCUCGUCCAGUAUGCCCUAGAAUUGAAGUAUACACUUAAGUAAUUAUAGUAUUAGUGGGUAACUAGUUCUUGUAUGUGCUUGCUAUAGAUAUAUUCUCAGCAAGCUCGUUGACUAUGCCCUCAAUUGAAGUUCUCUAUAUAAGUAAUCGUAGUGGUGGAGCUAAACUUGGUGUCUUAGUGACCACAACCACUUCAAGUCUAUAUGUAACUCCGUCUGUGUGUAAGCGUCUUUAAUUACUUGUAAGCAGCCGUAGUACCUAUAUAUGUGUGCAAGGUUGAAGGAACGAAAGAGGUGACCUUUUGUUUCCCUUCGUUACCAGGGAAGAUGAAUUUGAACCCUGAUUAUGUAUAAUAUAUAGUGAUUAACAAGAAUAAAGUAACAAACUUUGUGUAUUGAUAUCUAUUACGUAUACAUGUGUACGUAGGUGUGUCUAUAUAUUUAUAUAUGUACAUAUAUAUUGCAUUACAUACGUAUACAUACACAACUUACACUGAUAUUGUAUUACAUUCCCAAAUUCCUUCCCGGUCAAAAAGUCAACUUUUAUACUAAUAAAAUAUUCUAGGGGCAAAAUAGUCUUUUAUCUGAAUAAAUUAACAAUUAAAAAUUUAUUUAGGACUGGGUUGUUACAUAAACUCUUAUAAAUACCUCCUUAUGGAGAAGAAUAAAGUUAACCUAAUACAUUCAAACCAUAUUCAUAUUUUAGCACUAUGAAUGUUACCUUAUCGAGCAUGAGAUGUAUUUUGCUCACCCAGUAUCUCAUUCUCCUCAUCUAGGGGAGAGUAGCGUUGAAGAGUCGAAAUGGAUGGAGUUAUUUCAGGAUAAUAGUGAGGUUAAUUGGCUAGCCAUGUGUGACUUGACAACUAGUAACGAACCAAUCUGCACAGAACUGGCCAGUACCGCACUUGUGACUGAACCUACCAGUACCGUCGCACCCACAGCUUAUAACGUCUAUGCCGCCCCUCUCUCUACUACCUUUCUAGUACCCGGCCCCGAGUCUCCUCAUUCUAACAUUCUUGAGGUAAGUAUAUAAUCUUUGAUUAAUACUAACAAUGAUUGUGAAAUUAGUAAGUGUAGUGUGUAUCAGUUACCACCAAUGACUAAUCAUAGGAAGCCACCAUACGGAUAUUCACCAGAGCCUGCGACAUAGGUAAAGUAUCUUAUUUCUCAUUAUAUGUCUACUCAUAGAUUAUCUGAAGCUUGUCAGGCAUUUGUAAAUCAAAUGUCUAUGAUGACUAUUUCUAGUAAAGUACAAGAUGCAAUAUCUGAUUCAAAAUGGGCCAGUGCUAUGACUGAAGAGAUGCAAACUCUUGAGAAAGAUCAAACCUAGGAAUUGGUGCAACUGCCAGAAGGGAAGAAACCAGUUGGUUGCAGAUGUGUUAUAAAACACAAACCGGAUGGUUCUAUUGACAAGUAUAAAGCCAGACUUGUUGCCUGAGGUUUUUCCCAGACUUAUGAUAUUGAUUAACAUUUGCACCAAUGACUAAGAUCAAUACCAUUUGAGUUCGAUUAUCUUUAGCUGCAAACUUUAACUGGCCAUUGCAGCAAUAUGAUGUAAAAAAAUACCUUUUUACAUGGAGACUUACAAGAGGAAGUCUACAUGUCAUUGCCGCAAGGUUAUAAUGCUCAUACUGAUGCCAGUGUUCUGCGUAAAUUGAAGAAUACACUGUAUGGAUUGAAGCAGUCUCCGCGAACUUGGUUUAGGAGAUUGCGUCGUGCCAUGAAAAAAUAUGGUUAUGAGCAGAGCAACGCUCAUCAUACUUUAUUUCUUCAAAGGAAGAAUGGUAAGUUAACAGUUCUUAUUAUUAAUGCGGAUGAUAUGAUCGUGACUAGUGAUUGUCUUGAUGAAAUUGACAAAUUAAAAGGCUAUUUAGCUUCUGAGUUUGAUAUGAAGGAUCUCGGUGGAUUAAAAUAUUUUUUAGGUAUUGAGGUAACUUGUUCUGAACAUUGAAUUUUCUUGUCACAAAGAAAAUAUGUUCUUGUCACAAAGAAAAUAUGUUCUUGAUUUGCUAAAGGAAUCAGGUAUGCUUGGGUGUGAACCGAUUGGUACUCCUAUAGAACAAAAUCAUGGUUUGGAAGAAUAUCCAGAUCAAGUUCUAAGUGAUAAGGGACGAUAUCAAAGGUUGGUUGGUCGUUUGAUUUAUUUGUCUCAUACUAGACCUGAUAUUGCAUAUGCAGCAAGUGUUGUAAGUAGGUUCAUGCAUAAUCCAAGUCCAUGAUAUAUGGAUGCAGUAGUCUGAAUUUUGAGGUAUUUGAAAUUUGCACCAGGAAAAGGUAUGAUGUUCUUAAAGCAUGGGCAUGUAAAGGUUGUGGGGCAUACAUACUCAGACUGGGCAGGAAAGGAGGAUAAGAGGAGAUCGACAUUUGGUUAUUUCACGUUUGUUUAGGCGGUAACUUGGUUACUUUAUAGUCUAGGUGAUUGACCCCAAGCUUUUUGGAUGUUAGGUAUAUAUAGUUGGCUAUCGCGUUUAAGUACUUUUGGUUUCAGAGCGACACCCUUAUCCAUAUGGCAUCUACAACACAACAUAAAACAUAAGUUCUUUUCUUUUCAUAUCGGAUAUUGCUUUCGAGUUUCAUAUCCACCACGCUGUGUGUUAUCCCUAUGGCAUCUACGAUGGGGAUGCUUGUCCCAAUAGUCAUAGGCCAAAUCUCACCGAAAAGUCGAGCACUUUUUAGAAAGAAAGAAAGAAAGAAAGAAAAAGAAAAAAAAAAAAAAAAAAAAAAGGGUUUCACAAACCGAAAAGUUGAAUUAUUCAUUUCAACAAUUGGCAGAUGAAGUAUUUUUCUUAUCAACUUUACUACCAAAGAAAAGCUCACAAACCGUUUUAGACCAAACAAUUAAGCAUCUAUUAUCACUACUUGCAAGGUUCCAUGCUUUAUGUGCACGCAAAAUCUAGUCCAUAUAUCAUCCAUUGGAAUCAAGUAUUAUUUUUAAGGAGAGUGAUUGGCUCCUUGCCAAACUAUAUAUCAACAAAAUAUUAGCUAAAAUAUUGACAAUGUACCAUAUAUUGUAGAUAUGUUAGUACUCGAUACCAACAAAUUCUUUUCCAGAAUAAAGACCCAUGAGGCAUGUGACUUGAGGAAUAUUAGAAUACUUUUUUAAGGUCCAACAUGUGCGCAGGGGACCAGGCAGAAUCUUGUAUAAAUGGGAUUGAAUUCAUAGUGCAAGUCAUACAAGCCCUAGUUAAUUCCUUAUCCUUGGUAGUUUUGCAGUUAAUAAAUUAGAAGAAGAUGGUUUGGGAAACAAAAAGGUAUAAGGCCCCGAGCAAGGUUCCCUACACAAAGGAGCAGAUAAGGGACGUCUUCAAACGUCAUGAGACGAAUGGAGAUGGUCAACUUUCCAAAGAAGAGCUGGAUGCAGCCUUUGACGAACUUGGCGCGAAAUGGCCUCCUUUUAGAGCUUGGUUUGCUCGACGGUAUGCAGAUGACAACGGCGAUGGCUUCAUUUCUAUAGACAAGGAGCUCAGCAAGCUCGUCGAUUAUGCCCUAGAAUUGAAGUAUAUACUUCAUUAAUUAUAGUAUUUGUGGGUAACUAGUUCUUGUAUGUGCUUGCUAUAGAUAUAUUCUCAGCAAGUUCAUUGACUAUACCCUCAAUUCAAGCUUUCUAUAUAUGUAACUCUGUCCGUGUGUAAGCGUCUUUAAUUACUUAUAAGCCACCGUAGUUCCUAUAUAUGUGUGCAAGUUGAGGGAACAAAAGAGGUGAUCUUUUGUUUCCCCUUGUUACCAGGGAGGAUGAAUUUGAACCCUGAUUAUGUAUAAUAUAUAUAGUGAUUAACAAGAAUAAAGUAACAAACUUUGUGUAUUGAUAUCUAUUACAUAUAUAUAUAUGCGUACGUAGGUGUGUCUAUAUAUUUAUGUAUAUACAUAUAUAUUUUAUUACAUACGUAUACGUACACAACUUACACUGAUAAAAGCUCCGUGUUAUAGAGAUUACUGCAAUCCACUCAACACCACAUGUGGAAGCAUGGACAUUAGCAGAGUAACUUAAUAUGAUUCCAUACCAAUAUCUUGUUCAAGUGGCGUAGAGAUUUAAAUUUAAAAUCUUCAUAUAAGUAUAUCAAAAAAGAAAAAGAAGAAAAGAAAGAACUCUCACACAACUUUUCAUUGUUAUACACUCUUUUCCUAAGGGUGUACAUCCGUUCAAAACUAAUACAAUUUUACCAAUCUGCAUCUGAUUCAAUAUAUAGAUUGGAUUAUGAUUUUCUAAUCCAAUCCGAUCUCAUUAGAAGUAUAAAUCCAAUCCGAUCCAAUUAAAAUUGAAUUAGACUGGAUUGAAUGAUCAAUUUUUAUAAUGAAAAAUAGUAAUAACAAAAUAUAAAACAUUUAUCUUCAAGUUGAAUAUAAUCAAACAUUUCAGAACUUGGAGAGCACGAUGCCAUGCAGAUACCAACAGCAAAGACAGGUCCAUCCUCAACGUCAACGACCUUGUCAAAUAUGCCCUAAAACGUGGCUAUAAACUCUGAUUAACUCAGAAGCAGAUGAGGGGUUUUAGUCAACUAAUUAAUAUAAUAUAUAUGUGUAUAUGUGUGUAUGUAUGAGAGUUUUUAAUUACUUAUCUGCGAGUUCCAGCCAUAUAUACAUAUAUGUGUGUAUGCUAGAGAAGGAAGGAGGUGAGCUUUUGUUUCCCCCUCUUUGGCAAGGUUUGAUGAAUCAGAAUUAUGAUUUAUGUGGAAACUUUUGUAUUUCGCAAUGUGAUUUAAUAAUCAAAAAAAUUUAUAUUUAGAUAUCCUUUAUUAAGUAUCACCAAUUUAAUAUAAUUUUAUAAUUCACACCAACUAGCUUUUAAUAUAAUGAUAAUUGUCUCCACUUAAUUGAAUAAAGUUGCUACUCCGCUCCCUUCGCGGCCUCGGCAUCCCUGACAGCUUGGAUAGCAGCACCACCAAAUCUUGAUUUGAUUCAUAUGAAUACAACAUAACCUGCUUUGUAAACCUCGUAUGUAUAGUUUGAAGAGGAAAAGAAUUAUCAUCCAUACCAAAUCCAGAAAAACCAAAUUAUGUAUAUUAAAUGAGUUAGUAGUUACAAGGUCAAUAAUUUAUGGAGUAUAGGUGAUUGACCCCAACCUUUUUGGAUGUUGGGCAUAUAUAGCUAGCUGUCGCGUUGAAGUAGUUUUGGUUUCAGAGCGACACUCUUAUCCAUACAAUAUGUCGGUGUGCCGAUGAAAGAAUCUAUUGAUUUGUCCUCGCAAUGCAAGUGAAGGAUAAACGGCAAACUGUGUGAAUGUUUUUACUGUGAUCAGUAUGGUUGUAGAAACCAAAGCGAAGGCCUAGCUAGUUGACCCAAGUCAAGCAAAAGAAUCUAUUAGAAUUCUUCAUGUAGGACGUACGCAGGCUUAGUUUUUGUGCUUGCUGCUGAUUAGUCUGUGAUCAUGUAAUAUAAUGUCUCUGUGUAUGUACAUAUAUGCGUAUGUUAAUGAAUUAAUGACCAGUGAGCAGCCAUAGCUCUGUUUCAUAAAAUGGAUAAGCACAAAAUUUAGAAAAUAUGUGAAGGGCAUUAGUUAAUGGUUAUGUUGUUUUAUUGUUAAUGUCUAAUCUAUAUUUCAGUAAUACCAUGUGACACCAAAUGAGUUCUGUUACAAUCACCUUUUUCAUUUUCUUUUAUGAAAAAAAAGAAAAAGAAAAAAAAAACUUGAAACCAAAUGAGUUUGAUUCACAUGAAUUGCAUAAUGGGUAUAAGAUUGUCGCAAGUAAUUUGUUGAAGUGUUUCUCAUACAAUGACUCCAAAAUCAGAAGCCAAAAAGGGGAAGAAAAAUUAUGAAGCCAGAACCUGGCUUACCUGACGAAUCAGCAUCCAACGAGAGAAAAGUUGAAGCCGAUCGAGUUUAUGAUUUUCUUGGAGGACUUGAUUCACCGUAUGAUGGUGUCUAUAGCCGUAUUCUUACUCUUAGUCCUAUCCCGCCCCCUCUCGAAGCCUAUACCAUGGUCAUGGAGGAAGACACUCGUUAGUCUGCUAUGCUUAGAGGAGGUUCGAUGGCCCUCAAAGUCGACCCAGCCCGUCAAUGACCGGUCACUACCCAUCCAGAAAAUUUUCUUCUUCUGCUAGGCCUCGUUCUUCUGGAUCUAUCCCUAGCUCUCUUGAAGGUCCUCCUAAGUGUCGUCAUUGUAAUGGGAAUCACUAUUCUGAGAAGUGUUUUAAGGAGCAUGGUUAUCUUGAUUGGUUUGCUAACUACACGGCUCGUAUGUAUGGUCCUAAAGCCGCCUAUACUAUGACUCAAGAUGAGGCUCGUCCUCUGGCCCUUUCUACAAAUCUGUGUGCUUCUGAUACCAUGCCAUGUAUGGGUUCUAAUACUUGGAUAAUUGACACUGAUGCUUCUGAUCAUAUGACUUUUGAUAAUAAUAUGUUUGAUGAGUUGUCCCAUAACCCUCGUGACCCUUAUAUUACUAGUGCUAAUGGUUUACCUUCCCCAGUUAUUGGUGAAGGUACCAUCCAACUCGCUCAUUCUUUACCUCUAUCCCAUGCACUCUUGGUUCCAAAUAUUCGUUGCAAUUUGUUAUCUGUUGGGCGUUUACUUGAUACACUUAACGCGUCUGCUACUUUCUAUUCUACCUAUUGUUUUUCCAAGAUCUCAAAACUCACGAGAAGAUUAGGCAUAGUAAAUAGAUGGGGGGUUGUAUUACUUAUAGUUAUCAGUUGCAGCAGUUCGUGGUUGUGUCGCUAAUAAAGUUUAGAAUGGCAGUGUCAAAGACAAGCAACAACUUUGGUUGUGGCAUCGUCAUUUAGGACAUCCGUCCUUUGUUUAUCUUAAACAUUUGUUUUCUUCAUUAUUUAGUUUGUGUGAUGAGUCUAGCUUCAAAUAUGAAACUUGUGUAAUGGCCAAGAGCUACCGUAUUGUUUUUCCCUUGAGUAAUAAUAAAGCUGCAUUGCCUUUUGAGUUAGUACAUUCGGAUGUAUGGGGUCCUUCCCGUGUGACUUCUAAUGGUUUCCGUUGGUUUGUCACGUUUAUUGAUGACUGCACUCGCUUAACAUGGGUAUAUUUGAUGAAGCAUAAACAUGAUGUUGCCUCUAUUCUUCCUAUUUUUUGUGCUAUGGUGUCUACUCAGUUUCAUGCCAGUAUUAAAGUAUUUCGGACUGAUAAUGGAGGUGAAUAUGUGAAUCAUACCUUGACCCAUUUCGUCCGUGAUCAAGGUAUCAUCCACCAAACUACCACUCUAUUCACUCCUCAACAGAAUGGUAUGUCUGAACGUAAGAAUCGUCAGUUACUUGAAGUUGCUCGCUCCCUUAUGUUGGAUAUGUCUUUUCCCCAUCAUCUUUGUGGACACGGUGUCUUGGCCACUGCUCAUUUGAUUAACCGUACUCCUAGUCGGGUUCUUGAUUUCAAGACUCUGCUUGAUGUGUUAUGUACCCAUACUUCUCCAGUCUCGGUCUCUAAGUUACCUCCAAAGGUGUUGGGUGUGUUGCUUUUGUUCAUGUCUACUCUCAUUAACGGAGUAAACUGGACCUGUGUGCGCUUCGCUGUGUCUUCAUUGGCUAUUCUACCACUCAAAAGGGUUACAAGUGCUAUCACCCUCAUUCACAGAAAGUACAUGUUACUUUGGAUGUCAUCUUUCACGAAAAAGUAUCGUAUUAUGUCUCUUCCUCCUCUCUAAUUCAGGGGGAGAAGGGGAGUGAAUUGAAGAGUUUCGGAAUGGAAAAUCAUGGACGUAAAGAGGCAUGUGAAGGAAUUUCUGACCAAGUGCCAACGACCGGUCGUGUAAAGGAAGCAACCGGUCACCAAGUAAUCUGCCUGGAAUCGACCGGUCGAGCAGACGAUGACGACUAGUCGCAUGCCUAGAUGACUGAUGACUGCCAGGAAACGACGAUCGAUCGCUCAAAAGAUGACGAUCGGUCGCCUAUUGAAUUCUUUGAUGAAAUUUGCUCUUCGCCAAAAGAACGUGACAGUGAUACUGGUGACUCUUGUGAAGAUAAGAUCGAUAUAAGACCCCCAUCUGCUCUGCCACUGCCCCAAUCAACUCUUGAUAAUGAUGAAGUACUUUCUAAUGAUGUGUCUACUUAUUCAUUACCCCCACCCACUACUCGUGGUAAACCUAAAGUACAAUAUUCUAUUGAUAUACAUUCCAAAUCUAAAUAUCUCAUUAACCAUUAUGUGCCAACUCAUCGUCUAUCUAAGUCAUAUGCAUCAUAUUUGUGUCAAUUAUCUAGUGUUUGUAUGUCAACUAAGUUGCAUGAUGCUUUAUCUAAUCUAAAAUGGGUAGAUGCAAUGCAUGUUGAGAUGGAAGCCUUGAACAAGAAUGCCACUUGGGAGCUAGUUCCUUUACCAAAAGGAAAAAAGGCAGUUGGGUGCAGAUGAGUGUUUACUUUGAAGACAAUGCUGAUGGUUCCAUUGACCGUUACAAGGCAAGGUUGGUAGCAAAAAGUUAUACUCAGACUUAUGGAGUGGAUUACACAGCGACCUUUGCUCCAGUAGCAAAGCUCAAUACUGUGCGCGUACUCUUGACCUUGGUUGCUAAUCAUGAUUGGCCUAUGUUACAAUUCGAUGUCAAAAAUGCAUUCCUCCAUGGUGACCUCAAGAAAGAAAUAUACAUGGAUCCUCCGCCGAGUAUUCCUGUGACCUCUAAGGAGGGUAUGGUGUGCAAACUAUGGAAAUCCUUAUAUGGAUUAAAGCAGUCUCCAAGAGCUUGGUUUAGGAAGUUUGCUGCAUCUAUUAGGAAGUUUGGGUAUGUAUAAAGUAAUUCGAAUCAUACGUUGUUUCUGAAGGGUCGCAAAGGUAAAUUGACAGCUUUAAUAAUUUAUGUUGAUAAUAUAAUUGUAACUGGAGAUGAUCAUGCAGAAAUACACAGUCUCCAGAAAUAUCUGGCGUCUGAGUUUGAGAUGAAAUCAUUAGGUGACUUGAAGUAAUUUCUCGGGAUUGAAGUUGCUAAAUCUAAGCGUGGUAUUUUCCUGUUUCAAAGGAAGUAUAUUUUGGAUUUGCUUGCAGAAACUGGAAUGAUGGAUUGUAAACCAAUUGAUAAUCCUAGUGAACAAAAUCACAAGUUGGGGUUCUAUCCUGAUCAAGUUCCUACUGAUAAGGAGUGCUAUCAACAGCUCGUGGGGAAAUUAAUUUAUUUAGCUCAUACAUGUCCUGACAUUGCGUAUGCAGUGAGUGUAGUGAGUCAGUUUAUGCACUUGCCUAGUGAAGACCAUAUGGGAGCUGUGACGCGUAUUUUGAGAUAUCUCAAAGUAACUCCUGGCAAUGGGUUAAUGUUUUCAAAGUAUGGUCAUAUAGAUGUGGAAGGAUACACAGAUGCUAAUUAGGCAAGUUUAGCUAUUGAUAGGCGUUCUACGUCUGGGUAUUUUACGUUUGUUGGUGGUAAUCUUGUUACUUGGAGAAGCAAGAAACAAAAUGUGGUGUCUUGUUCUAGUGAUGAGGCUGAGUAUCGUUGGAUGGCCCAUGACGUAUGUGAGUUACUGUGGUUGAGGAGAUUAUUGAGAGAUCUUGGCUUUGGACCUAAGAAACCUAUGGAUUUAUAUUGUAACAAUAAGGCUGCGAUUGCAAUUGCUCAUAAUCAUGUACAACAUGAUCGUACAAAGCAUGUGGAGGUUGAUCGAAAUUUCAUUAAAGAGAAGUUCGAUGCGGAGAUUGUUUCCUUCCCAUUCAUCAGUUCUGAGUAUCAGUUAGCUGAUGUCCUUACGAAAGCUGUUUCUACAAGUAUCUUCCUCAACUCGCUUGACAAGUUAGGCAUGUGUGACGUCUUUGCUCCAACUUGAGAGGGAGUGUUGGCGAGAUAUCCUAACCCUAUUAGGAUAUUUCCUUCUUAUUCUAAUAGGAUUUUAUUUAUUUCUUUUUGUAUAGAUAUUACGUAAUUAGGACUUUUCUUAUUUCCUAGUAUAACCCUAUUAGAGUUUGUAACCUUGUAUUAUAAAUACCUCCUUUCGAAAAAUGAAAUACAUAUAAAAAAUAUUAUACCUAUAUUGUUUGACUAAGAUGAUGCAAGGGUUGAGUCUGAUAAUACGCAGGGUAGAAGAUGAAGAGGCGAGAGAACAUGUUUGUGUCAAACAUGUAUUUUAAUAAUUUUUUUUAAUAAAAAAAAAUGAAUUGAAGAGUUAACAGAGUUAAAAUGUUGUUAAAUAGUGUGCCACAUGUUACAAAAUCAAGGAGGAAAUGGGGACACAGAGAAUUUGGUAACAGAAAAAUUCAACUUGUAAGAGUAGCACUAGUUUAUAGUCCAUAGGUGAUUGACCCCAACCUUUUUGGAUGUUAGGCAUAUAUAGAUAGCUAUCGCGUUUAAGUACUAUUGGUUUCAGAGCGACACCCUUAUCCAUAUGGCAUCUACAACACAACAUAAAACAUAUGUUCUUUUCUUUUCAUAUCGGAUAUGGCUUUCGAGUUUCAUAUCCACCACGCUGUGUGUUAUCCAUAUGGCAUCUACAAUUGGGAUGCUUGUCCCAACAGUCAUACGCCAAAUCUCACAUAAUGAAUCUCGAUCCAACUUAAAGAGUAUAAGAUGGAGAUCUCAAGUACUCUUGAGUCUGAUAAUUAUAUUUCCAACGUUAAUUUAGGGGUUUUAGUACUUAUGAUUAAUAAUUUAUAGUUAAAAUGUUUUUAUAUGUUAUAUUAAAAUACUAUGUGCAAAGGAUUCACUAGUGUAGUGGUUUAAAGCAAUUUCUCUUUCAGACAACGUUAUAGGUUCGAAUUCUAAUAUCUGCUAGAAAGAAAGAAAGAAAAAGGUUUCACUCACAAACCGAAAAGUUGAAUUAUUCCUUUCAACAAUUGGCAGAUGAAGCAUUUUACUGUUAUCAACUUUACUACCAAAGAAAAGCUCACAAACCGCUUUUGACCAAACAAUUAAGCAUCUAUUAUCACUACUUGCAAAGUUCCAUGCUUUAUGUGCACGCAAAAUCUAGUCCAUAUAUAUGACUCGAUUUUUUUUAAAUAAUCAACUGUAGUUUACCAAUUUCAUCUGCGGAAAUUACAAGAGGCAACACUUAGAACAAGAGAAACCUAACUCAAAAACAAGAAGAACAAGAAUUUGUUUGAUAUUUCAUCCAUUGGAAUCAAGUAUUAUUUUUAAGGAGAGUGAUCGGAUCGAUGCCAAACUAUAGUAAGUAUAUAUCAACAAAAUACCAAACUGGAGUAUCAAGAAAAUAUUGAAUAAAAUAUCAAUAAUGUAUCAUAUACUGUAAAUAAAUUGGUACCCGAUACCAACAAAUUCUUUCCCAAAAUAGAGACCCUUGAGGCAUGUGACUUGAAGAAUAUUAGAAUACUUUUGGAGGUCCAACAUGUGCGCAGGGGAUCAGGCAGAGCCCUAUAUAAAUGGGCUCCCUCAUAGUGUACAAGUCACCCAAUUCAAGCCUUUGUUAAUUCCUUGGUAGUUUUUGCAGUUAAUAAAUUAGUAGAAGAUGGGUUAUCACAAUAAUCUUGAUAAGGUCCGUAAUAAGAGGGCCAAGUUUCCCUACACAAAGGAGCAGAUAAGGAACGUCUUCAAACGUCAUGACAAGAAUGGAGAUGGUCAACUUUCCAAAGAUGAGCUGGACGCAGCCUUCAAAGAACUUGGCUCGAUAUGGCCUCCUGGUAGAGCUUGGUUUGCUCAAAGGUAUGCAGAUGACGACGGCGAUGGCUUCAUUUCUAUAGACAAGGAGCUCAGCAAGCUCGUCCAGUAUGCCCUAGAAUUGAAGUAUACACUUAAGUAAUUAUAGUAUUAGUGGGUAACUAGUUCUUGUAUGUGCUUGCUAUAGAUAUAUUCUCAGCAAGCUCGUUGACUAUGCCCUCAAUUGAAGUUCUCUAUAUAAGUAAUCGUAGUGGUGGAGCUAAACUUGGUGUCUUAGUGACCACAACCACUUCAAGUCUAUAUGUAACUCCGUCUGUGUGUAAGCGUCUUUAAUUACUUGUAAGCAGCCGUAGUACCUAUAUAUGUGUGCAAGGUUGAAGGAACGAAAGAGGUGACCUUUUGUUUCCCUUCGUUACCAGGGAAGAUGAAUUUGAACCCUGAUUAUGUAUAAUAUAUAGUGAUUAACAAGAAUAAAGUAACAAACUUUGUGUAUUGGUAUCUAUUACGUAUAUAUGUGUACGUAGUUGUGAACUUGUGUCUAUAUAUUUAUGUAUGUACAUAUAUAUUGUAUUACAUACGUACACAUGCACAACUUACACUAAUAAAAGCGCCAUGUUAUAGAGAUUACUACAAUCCACUUAACACCACAUGUGGAAACAUGGACAUGACCAGAGCAACUUAAUAUGAUUCCAUAUCAAUAUCUUGCCUUUUGUUUUGGUACAUUCUGAUGUUUGGGGCCUACUCCAAUUACUAGUACUUCUGGCUUCCGUUGAUUUGUUAUUUUGUGGAUGAUUGCACUCGCAUAUCAUGGUUGUACCUGAUGCAAAAUAAGAGUGAUGUUUUUGCUUGCUUUCGAACUUUUCACCAGAUGAUUAAAAAUCAAUUUUCUGCUACUUUAAAGGUGCUUCUUUCAGAUAAUGGUGGUGAACAAUUUUGAUGAUUCUUCCCUUCAUCCACACCAUUCUUACACAGUUAUUUUCAGAAACAUGGAAUUCUACAUGAGACUACUUGUCCUUACACACCUCAGCAGAAUGGUGUGGAUGAAGGGAAGAAUCAUCAAAAUUGUGAAAUUACUCAUGCUAGUCUUAUAGGUGCCCAUAUGACCCCAUAAUUCUAGGAGGAGGUGAUCACCUAUACAGUCUAUCUUCUUAAUAUUGUGUUCCUGCUAGUGUCCUGUAGUUUAAGACACCAUUGGACAAAUUUGAGGCUUAUGUUUCCUUCCUAUCUCAUAUCACUCUUCUGUCACAUCUCGGGAUCGGCUCCGUCAUAGCACGAUAUUGUCCGCUUUGGGCCCCCUUUCUGCCCUCACAGUUUUGUUUCUAUGAAUCACGAGCAACUUCCCAGUGAGUCACCCAUCCUGGGAUUGAUUUAGCCCCAACUCGCUUAACUUCAGAGUUCCCAUGACUCUGAAGCCAGUGAGCUCUCAAAAGGCCUCGUGCUAGAUGGAGGAGGGCAUGUACAUAUAAGGCACAUCACCCCCUCUCCGUUGGUCGAUGUGGGAUGUUACACUUCUACCUUGUGUUUUUAGAUGCGUUGCUUUUGUGCACUUGCACAAACAUCAACAUACGAAAUUCGAUCAGUGUGCUGUGAAGUGUGUGUUUAUUGGUUAUCACCCCCAUCAGAAGGGUUAUCGGUACUUUCAUCUACCGAGUCAACAUUUUUAUGUUACUAUGAAUGUUACGCUUUCCAAGCAUGAGAUGUAUUUUGCUAAACCAGUAUCUCAUUCUCCUCUUAUGGGGGAGAGUAGCGUUGAAGAGUCAAAAUGGAUGAGUUAUUUCAGGAUAAUAAUGAGGUUAAUUGGUAGCCAUGCGUGACUUGACAGCUAGUAACGAACCAACCUGCACAGUACCAACCAGUACCGCACCUGCGACUGAACCUACCUGCACAUUCGCACCCACAGCCGAUAACGUCUGUGCUGCCCCUCUCUCUACUACUUUUCCAGUACCGGCCCUAAGUCUCCUCAUGCUGACAUUCUUGAGGUAAGAAUAGAAUCUUUAAUUAACACUAACAAGGAUUGUGAAAUUAUUGAGCGUAGUGAGUAUCAGUUACCAACAAUGAGUAAUUGUGGGAAGCCACCAUAUGGAUAUUCACCAGAGCCUGCGACAAAGGUAAAGUAUUUUAUUUCUCAUUAUAUGUCUACUCACAGAUUAUCUGAAGCUUGUCAGGCAUUUGUAAAUCAAAUGUCUACUGUGGCUAUUUAUAGUAAAGUACAAGAUGCAUUGUCUGAUUCAAAAUGGGCUAUUGCUAUGAUUGAAGAGAUCCAAACUCUUGAGAAAAAUCAAACCUAGGAAUUGGUGCAACAGCCAUAAGGGAAGAAACCAGUUGGUUGCAGAUGUAUUAUACCAUAAAACACAAACCGGAUGGUUCUAUUGACAAGUAUAAAGCCAGACUUGUUGCCCAGAGUUUUACCCAAACUUAUGGUAUUGAUUAUCAAGAGACAUUUGCACAUGUGGCUAAGAUCAAUACCAUUCGAGUUCUACUAUCUUUAGCUACAAACUUUAACUGACCAUUGCAGCAAUAUGAUGUAAAAAAUGUCUUUUUACAUGGAGACUUACAGGAGGAAGUCUACAUGUCAUUGUCACCAGGUUAUAAUGCUCCUACUGAUGCCAGUGUUCUGUGUAAAUUAAAGAAUGCACUGUAUGGAUUGAAGCAGUCUUUGCAAGCUUGGUUUAGGAGAUUGCGCCGUGCCAUGAAAAAUAUGGUCAUGAGCAGAGCAAUGCUCGUCAUACUUUAUUUCUUAAAAGGAAGAAUGGUAAGUUAACAGCUCUUAUUAUUUAUGCGGAUGAUAUGAUCGUGACUGGUGAUGAUCUUGAUGAAAUUGGCAAAUUAAAAGGCUAUUUCGCUUCUGAAUUUGAUAUGAAGGAUCUCGGUGGAUUAAAAUAUUUUCUGGAUAUUGAGGUAACUCAUUCUGAAUAUGGAAUUUUCUUGUCACAAAGAAAAUAUGUUCUUGAUUUGCUAAAGGAAACAGGUAUGCUUGGGUGUGAACCGAUUGGUACUCCUAUAGAACAAAAUCAUGGUUUGGAAGAAUAUCCAAAUCAAGUUCCAACUGAUAAAGGACGAUAUCAAAGGUUGGUUGGUCGGUUGAUUUAUUUGUCUCACACUUGACCUAAUAUUGCAUAUGCAGUAAGUGUUGUAAGUAGGUUCAUGCAUAAUCCAAGUUUACGAUAUAUGGAUGCAGUAGUCCAAAUUUUGAGGUAUUUGAAGUCUGCACUAGGAAAAGGUCUGAUGUUCUUAAAGCAUGGCAUGUAAAGGUUGUGGGGUAUACGGACUUAGACUCGGCAGGGAAUGGGGAUAAGAGGAGAUAGACAUUUGGUUAUUUCACGUUUGUUUAGGCGGUCACUUGGUUACUUGGAAGAGUAAAAAGCUGAAGGUUGUCUAUUUGUUGAGUCCAGAUGUCGAGUAUCGGGCUAUGGUGAAAGGUGUUUGUGAAGUGCUAUGGUUAAAAAGGCUUAUGGGGGAGCUAGGUUUUCCUACUGAGAAUACUAUGAAGUUGUAUUGUGAUAAUCAGUCAGCAAUUAAGAUUGCUGAAAAUCCAGUUCAACAUGAUAGAAUGAAACAUGUAGAGAUUGAUCGAAACUUUAUUUAUGAGGAAUUGGAAGAGAAGAUUAUUGAAGUUCCAUAUGUUAAGACUACUGAACAAUUGGCAAAUAUGUUGACCAAGGUUGUAUCAAAUCAAGCCUUUACAGAUUCACUUACCAAGCUAGGUAUCUGCGACAUCUAUGCACCAUCUUGGGGGGAGUGUUGGCUUGAAUCACAAUAGGAAUUAUAGACAAUUACCUUUAUUAUAUUGAUUUGUAAUUAUAGGAAUACCGGUUUGACCUGGAUUGUAUUUAUUCCUUUUUCCUUAUUGUAAUUAGUUACUAGAUAGACUUGUAUUUGUAUCACUAUAAAUACCUCAUUGUGAGAAGAAUAGAAACAUACUGAAUCAUUCGUAACCCUAAAUUCUAUUUGAAUGGUGUUAGCAGCAGCCAAAAAGGGGAAAAAUUUAUGAAGCGAUUUUCCUUCCAAUGGUGAUUGUGAAUUGAGUCGAGUGAGAGAGAAAGACUUAAGAGGCUGAAAGAAUUGACAAAAGCUCGUGAAUCAUCUGCUCGGCAUUGGCACUGGCUGGUUUUCAUGUAAAUUUGCAGUAUGCAAGUUCUGUUCAAAUCACAUUUUUCAUUGUCUUUUAUGGAAAAAAAAACUGAAACCAAAUGAGUUUGAUUCACAUGAAUUGCAUAAUCGGUAUAUGAUUGUCGCAAGUUAUUUGUUGAAGUGUUUCUCAUACGAUGGCUCCAAAAAAGUGGAGAAAAAUUAUGAAGCAAAACCUAGCUUACCCAACGAACCAGCUUCGAAUGAGCGAAAAAAUUUAUCGAACCAGAUACAGGGGCUAAGUUUUGCAUGGCAGAGAUGAUGCAAGGGUUGAGUCUGAUGAUACGUAGGGUAGAAGAUGAGGAGACGAGAGAACAUGUUUGUGUCAAACGCGUAUUUUAAUAAUUUUUUUUAAAAUAAAAAGAAAUGGGUUGAAGAGUUAAUAGAAUUAAAAUGUUGUUAAAUGGUGUGCCGUGUGUCACAAAACCAAUGAAGAAAUAAAGAGGCACAAGAGAUUUGGUAAGAGGAAAAUUGGACUCGUAAGAGUAACACUAAUUUAUAGAGUGGGUGAUUGACCCCAAGCUUUUUGGAUGUCAGGCAUAUAUAGCUAGCUAUCGCGAAGUACUUUUGGUUUCAGAGCUACCGUCUUAUCCAUAUGGCAUCUACAAACAUACAGCAUAUGUCGGUGUGCCGAUCAAAGAAUAUAUAAAGCAUUUUACUGUGAUCCAUUAUACGCUUUCGUCACGUGUAGUGAUCCAUUAUAUUGUUGGAUAUUGCUAUUGGUUUCGGUUUUUUGAAUGAACCAUAAUCUUAAUCUUACACUGCAAGUCCAAACCUUAUCUCUUGUAGUGUUUCAGGCACCCCUUUCUUGUAGUGUUCUUGUGGUGGUUCUGUUCAAAAUGUUGUCCACCCAAAACCUUUGCAUACUUUACAGAAAAAUUACCCCACAUAUCGGAUAUUGCUUUCCAGUUUCAAAUCCACCACGCUGUGUGUUAUUCAUAGGGCAUCUACAAUGGGGUAUGCUUGUCCCAAUAGUCAUAAGCCAAAUCUCACAUAAUGAAUCUCGAUCCAACUUAAAGAGUAUAAGAUGGAGAUCUCAAGUACUCUGAGUCUAAGAAUUAUAUUUCCAACAUGAAUUUAGGGGUUUUAAUACUUAUGAUUAUUUUAUAGUUAAAAUGAUUUUAUAUGUUAUAUUAAAACACUACGUGCAAAGGAUCCACUAAUGUAGUGGUUUAGAGCAAUUGUUCUCUCAGACAACGUCAUGAGUUCGAGUCCUAGCAUCUGUGUAGUUGAAUUAUCCCUUACAAACCGAAAAGUUGGGCACCUUUCAGAAAGAAAGAAGAAAAAAAGGUUUCACAAACCGAAAAGCUGAAUUAUUCCUUUCAACAAUUGGCAGAUGAAGCAUUUUACUGUUAUCAACUUUACUACCAAAGAAAAGCUCACAAACCGUUUUAGACCAAACAAUUAAGCAUCUAUUAUCACUACUUGCAAAGUUCCAUGCUUUAUGUGCACGCAAAAUCUAGUCCAUAUAUGCUACUCGAUUUUUUUUAAUAAUCAACUGUAGUUUACCAAGAAUUUGUUUGAUAUUUCAUCCAUUGGAAUCAAGUAUUAUUUUUUAGGAGAGUGAUCCGCUCGUUGCCAAAGUAUAUAUCAACAAAAUAUUAGGUAAAAUAUUGACAAUGUACCAUAUACUGUAGAUAUGUUAGUACUCGAUACCAACAAAUUCUUUUCCAGAAUAAAGACCCAUGAGGCAUGUGACUUGAAGAAUAUUAGAAUACUUUUUUAAGGUCCAACAUGCGCGCAGGGAACCAGGCAGAGCCCUAUAUAAAUGGGAUUGAAUUCAUAGUGCAAGUCAUUCAAGCCCUGGUUAAUUCCUUAUCCUUGGUAGUUUUGCAGUUAAUAAAUUAGAAGAAGAUGGUUUGGGAAACAAAUAGGUAUAAGGCCCCGAGCAAGGUUCCCUACGCAAAGGAGCAGAUAAGGGACGUCUUCAAACGUCAUGACAAGAAUGGAGAUGGUCAACUUUCCAAAGAAGAGCUGGACGCAGCCUUUGACGAACUUGGCGCGAAAUGGCCUCCUUUUAGAGCUUGGUUUGCUCGACAGUAUGCAGAUGACAACGGCGAUGGCUUCAUUUCUAUAGACAAGGAGCUCAGCAAGCUCGUCCAGUAUGCCCUAGAAUUGAAGUAUAUACUUCAUUAAUUAUAGUAUUAAUUAGUGGGUAACUAGUUCUUGUAUGUACUUGCUAUAGAUAUAUUCUCAGCAAGCUCAUUGACUAUACCCUCAAUUAAAGCUCUCUCUAUAUAUGUAAUCGUAGUGAUGGAGCUAGACUUGGUAUCUUAGUGGCCACAACCACUUCAAGUUUGUAUGUAACUCCGUCCGUGUGUAAGCGUCUUUAAUUACUUGUAAGCAGCCGUAGUACCUAUAUAUGUGUGCAAGGUUGAAGGAACGAAAGAGGUGACCUUUUUUUUCCCUUCGUUACCAGGGAAGAUGAAGAACCCUGAUUAUGUAUAAUAUAUAGUGAUUAACAAGAAUAAAGUAACAAACUUUGUGUAUUGAUAUCUAUUACAUAUAUAUGUGUAUGUAGGUGUGUCUAUAUAUUUAUAUAUGUACACAUAUAUUGUAUUACAUACGUAUACAUACACAACUUACACUGAUAAAAGCUCCAUGUUAUAGAGAUUACUACAAUAUUCCACUCAACACCACAUUUGGAAGCGUGGACAUGAGCAGAGCAACUUAAUAUGAUUCCAUAUCAAUAUCUUGUUCAAGUGGCAUGCAGAUUUAAAUUUAAAAUCUUCAUAUAAGUAUAUCAAAAAAGAAAAAGAAAAAAAGAAAGAACUUUCACCCAACUUUUCAUUGUUACACUCUUUUCUAUAUAAUUAUUUUCUAGGAGUGUACAUCGGUUCGAAACUAAUACAAUUGUAUAAAUCCGCAUUCGAUCUAAUAUAGAUUGGAUUAUAAUUUUCUAAUCCAAUCCGAUCACAUUAGAGAGAUAUAAAUCCAAUCCGAUUUGAUCCAAUUUAUAUUGGAUUAGACUAGAUUGGAUGAUCGGUUUUCAUAAUGGAAAAAGAUAAUAACGAAAUAUGAAACAUUUAUCUUCAAGUUUAAUAUAAUAAAACACUUUAAUAGAAUGUAAAUUUAAAAUAUCAAUGAAAUGCUAGAGAAAAUUAUUCUGAUUUUAUAAUAUAUCAAACAUAACUUCAUCAAAUUACUUAAAAUAUUUAUAACUUUCUAAAUGAAAAUUGCCUAAUAAGCAAAAUGAGGAAAUCCGUCAUCUGAUCUGAUCAUAUGUUGGUGUUGGAAAUUAGGAAUCCAAUCCACUCCGCCAAAUCAUUGAAACAUAUUAAAGUUGAAUUGGAUUGGUCGGUUUAGGGGAAUUAAAUUGGAUCUUGCACACCCCUACUGUUUCCUUUGGUGAGCAUUUACAUUAUACGUCACAAUCUCUUAAAACAUAGCACAACAAAAUGAAUAUAAUGUUUUCAAUAAAACAACGAAAUAUUCGUGAGGAUAAUCAAAUGGUCAAAUGAUUUCAAAUUUGUUGAUUUUCUUAAAUGGAGAUUGAAAAAUUAGACAGUUCAUAUCCUUAAACCACAUGUGGAAGUGCCCAAAAAAGUAAUUAUUUCAUGCAUAUUAUCUACAAAGAGUUCAAUUUGUAAAUAAAUUUUAAUUUUUUUUAUACAAGCGAUGUCUAAAUUAUUCUAAAUUAAUUAAAUUUAUGAGAAGGGAGGUUCGAACUUAGGUGCAAGGAGGCGCGCUCACUUUACUGACCAAUUUGCAUAAUCCACAUCUACAAAUCAUUCUUAUUAAUAAAUUAAAGAAUUAUGAUAUAUGUACACACAUAUAUACACGUUGCUUAACCAAUAAAUGAAAUGGAUGAAAAAUGUUACUCCUUUUUUUCUUUAAUGAAGAAAAAUGUUACAAUUUAUAAAUGGAUAAAGUCACACACACCAAAUACCAAGUCACAUAAGUUAGGGGCAAAAAGGCAGACAUUUCAACUGGCAUGGAGGUCCCGAUGUUACACUUAUGUUUAUUUAUUAAUAUUAUACUCUAGACUCAUAAAAUAUAUAUAUAUAUAUAUGUGACAGAAAUGAUGUUCUAAAUUACUCCAGCUACAGAUAGGCAGGUUGGAAUUCGAGUUCAAAUUAAAGUUUCUCCACCCAUAUUAAUAGCAUAUCAAGACAUUGUACACCCAAAACCUUUUCAUAAUUUACAAGAAAAUCACACCCCUCCCCCAAUCUAUUUGGAUAUGAAGGCUAUCGCUGUCGAGUUUGAUAUCCAUGCUGUGUUAUCCAUAUGACAUCUAUCUACAAUGGGGGUCACUGUGAAAAAAAUAGCAACAGUCACUAUUAUUUGGUGAUUAAAAUUUAGUCACCCCUAAUUAGUCACUAAAUAUCACCUGGUAAUUGUUACUCUUUUUUUUUUUCUUUUUGUAGCGGGUGAUUGUCCAAUAGUCAUAGGCCAAAUCUCACAUAUAAUUGUUCCCAAUAGUCUUCGGUUUGAUUCUUAUAAGGACAAACCAUGUGGCCUUCGUGUUUGUAUAUAUGCCUUUGGUCUGAGGAUUCUAUUUCCAACAUGAAUUUAGGGAUUUUAAUUCUUAUUGUUAAAAAAUGCUUCACCACGUUGGCCGGCGGAAAAGUUGAAUUAUAGAAAGAAUAAAAACACAAACGGAAAAGUUGAAUUAUUCCUUUCGAUCACUGUCCAUAACAACACUGGCAGAUGAAGUAUUUUUACUAUUAUCGCUUGCAAAAUUCCAUGCUUUAUUUGCACGCACAAAUCUGGUCCAUAUACAAACUAGAAAAUGAUCAAGUACAACAUGCAACACUUAGAACAAGAGAACAUAACUCAAAAACAAGAAGAACAAGAAUUUGUUAGAUAUUCAUCCAUGGAAAUCAAGUAUUAUUUUUAAGGAGAGUGAUCGGCUCAAUUCCAAACUAUAUAUCAACAAAUUAUUAGCUAAAAUAUCGACAAUGUACCAUAUACUAGUAUUGCAUACAUGUUAGUACUCGAUACCAACAAAUUAUUUUCCAAAAUUAAGACCCCUGAGGUAUGUGACUUGAAGAAUAUUAGUUAGAAUACUUUUUUAUGGUCCAACAUAUGCCCAGGGGACCAGGCAGAGUCCUAUAUAAAUGGGAUUGAAUUCAUAGUGCAAGUCAUUCAAGCCCUAGUUAAUUCCUUAUCCUUGUUAGUUUUGCAGUUAAUAAAUUAGAAGAAGAUGGUUUUCGAUACAAAUUAUAAGGUCCCGAACAACGUUCCCUACACCGAGCAGCAGAUAAUGAAUGUCUUCAAAAGUCAUGACAAGAAUGGAGAUGCUCAACUUUCCAAAGAGGAGCUGAAAGAAGCCUUCAAAGAACUUGGCUCGAAAUGUCCUCCUUUAAGAGCUUGGUUUGCUAAAAAUUAUGCAGAUGACAACCGCGAUGGCUUCAUUUCUAUAGACAAGGAGCUCAGCAAGCUCGUCAAGUAUGUCCUAAAAUUGAACUAUACACUUCAUUAAUUAUAGUAUUAGUGGGUAACUAGUUCUCAGCAAGCUCGUUGACUAUGCUGUCAACUGAAGCUCUAUAUAUGUGUGUGGAUAUAUAAACAUAGUGGCGGAGCUAGACUUGGCAUCUUGGGGGGUUGCAAUCACUUCAAGCUUAUAUAUGACUCCGUUCGUGUGUAAGCAUAUGUAAUUACUUGUAAUUCGUAUUACCUAUGUUACUAUGUAUGUGUGCAGGGUAGAGGAAACGAAGGAGAUGACCUUUCGGUACCUCUCGUUUCCGGGAAAGAUGAAUUUGAACCCUGAUUAUGUAUAAUAUAUAGUGAUUAACAAAAAUAAAGUAACAAACUUUGUGUAGUGACAUCUAUUAGGUAUAUGUAUGUGUGUCUAAUAUAUUAUAGUACAUACGUAUAUACGUACACAACUCACACUGAUAAAGUUCCAUGUUAUGGAGAUUAUUACAAUCCACUCACCACCACAUGUGGAAAGAUUGUGAUAUGAGCAGAUCUAGAGCAAUUUCACAUGCAUCCAUAUCAAUAUCUUGCUCAAGUAGCAUAGAGAUUUAAAUUUAAAUCCUCAUAAGUAUAUCCAAAAAAAG